rnacentral:rRNA from 1 species
CCUACGGGUUGCACCAGUGGGGAAUAUUGCACAAUGGGCGCAAGCCUGAUGCAGCCAUGCCGCGUGUAUGAAGAAGGCCUUAGGGUUGUAAAGUACUUUCAGUUGGGAGGAAGGCGUUGAUGCUAAUAUCAUCAACGAUUGACGUUACCAACAGAAGAAGCACCGGCUAACUCCGUGCCAGCAGCCGCGGUAAUACGGAGGGUGCAAGCGUUAAUCGGAAUUACUGGGCGUAAAGCACACGCAGGCGGUCUGUUAAGUCAGAUGUGAAAUCCCCGGGCUUAACCUGGGAACUGCAUUUGAAACUGGCAGGCUUGAGUCUCGUAGAGGGGGGUAGAAUUCCAGGUGUAGCGGUGAAAUGCGUAGAGAUCUGGAGGAAUACCGGUGGCGAAGGCGGCCCCCUGGACGAGGACUGACGCUCAGGUGCGAAAGCGUGGGGAGCAAACAGGAUUAGAUACCCGCGUAGUC